AGCAUUUCAUCAGUACUUCACUGGAGAUCCAGCACUUUCCUGGGGAGGUUACAUGGAGUUCCCACAAUUAAAAAAAACAGCGCGCAGCCAUUUUGUUCAUUCUACCCAAAAGUCAAUUUUUAAUAUAGAAGUAACAUUUAACAAGACUGUGUAGCUUUCAGUAGGCAUGAAGGAGAAAGAAUUUAUUGUUUUCGAAUGAUGCCUUUGUCUCCUGACUAGCUCUCUGUGCAGGUGUGUGGCUUACUGGGUUGAAAAUAGCUAAAGGAGGGAGGAUUCCACAAUAUUCACCUCUUUUUCUUCUCAGUGGUUUCUCUGUCAGUGAAUGAAUCCCCAAACACAAGUUUUAAGCUGAAAAUUCUUUAUUCUAGACAUCUCUACUGUCCAAAUCAAAAUGAAAAUGUGGCCAGUUAAGCACCCUUUUUUCUUAUUAUUAUUUCCUUUUUUACUCCUCUUUGUUUUGUUUUCAGUUCUGCAGACCUAAGACAUCAUUUGCCUCGCUCUGUGUUCUCCAUUGCCAUCUUGUUUUAUUCUGUCACUGUGGAAUGUCACCACAGUGUGUCUUGUCAGGCUGAUAACUGGCAAACCCUUAAACUCACCUCUCUCUUUCACUGGUUUCUUCUCUGGUCUACCUAGAUCUUGUCAUACAACUUCUCUAAACUAUUUUUUAUGUUAUUUACUAUUUAUAAAUAAAUAUAAAUAACUUAUGUUAAGUUUAUUGACUAUUUACGUACACAUUUAAGAUUCUUGUCUGCAAUGCUUCAGCUCAUUAGAAAGACUUUCUGCUGCUUUCUAUUUGUGUUGGAGACAGCUAUUUUCAGUAUUUCAGAAACUAAUAGGACACAAAACAGGUAGUCAGUUGGUACCUUUACUAUUCACUAUAUAUAUUCAUCUGAUUGGCUGUGGUUUCUUUUACUUCCACUGUUGUUUCAUAUUCAAGGAAAGGAAAAGGACCCUGCUGUCUGGCAGCCUGUAGCUUCAAGAAAAGUUCUUGUUCAUGAAGCAUGUCUGGAAUGCGACUGCAUGCUGCCCAGGUACCUAUCAGAUUAUCCCCUGUCACGAUCUGCUCAACCCGAGUGGGAGCCGUGAGGGUUUGUUUGACCCCAGGGUGCAAAAGACAAAAAGCAAGAGACUCAAGUUUUACUCAGCAGCAAGUAGCAACGCAGUUUGUGUGCCAACAAUUCCGUUUUGCGAUAGAAGGGAGAGAGAGGUAAAGGAAACGAAGUAAAAGGGGAGAGAGAGAGAAAGGAUGGGGAUGUAGCUACCAACAGACGGGACGCAUCCUCGUGGUCGUCUGACGAUAGACGCGUCUUGGAUCCAUCGGGGAGAAAGAGAUGUCAGUGUCUCUUUAAGAAAGUCACUUUUCAGAGUCCUUUUCCAAAGCGAGUGGCCUCUGGCCAAAAGGUGGAGAGAUUUAUGGACUAUUGUAUGUGGAGAUUGUUGCUCCAAGAAACAGGUGCAGGAACAGGGCGCUAUAACCAGUACCCUGCUCAAGAGCAGUGUACCAUGGCAAGCACCAGGCACACCUACAAACAGUUCCUUGGCAAGCAUCCACCUCAGCCAGGCCAGAACUCAGGUCCAGAGUGAGCAGUGGAGUCCUGGGGUCUCAGUCUCUGAUGAUGAUUGUGAGGUCAGACUGACCCUUACACCCUCUAUGCAGAAAAAUGACAGCAAAACAGUGGAGAUACCUGACUUGCUCUAAAAUGACUGCACUGGAUCUCUAGCAGUCAAGAUGCAGCACUGCAGAGCUCAGUAAGUAAUUUGCCCUAAUGACAAGUUAGUUGGCAUGUUUAAAUACAAACAGCUGCUAAGUUGUUACCAGUGUUUACUCACCAGCUGGUAUUUUCAAUAAUCAAUGAUGCCAAUAACUUUUUUUUUUUGAGCUGUUGGAUAUUCCAUCAGAGGCUGAGGAAGCAACUCCAUGGCAGGAAAUUUACUGAAGAGAUCCUGAAAAAUAAAUUUAAUAUCCUGAAUUUUCAAGUGGGGCUGUGAAAGAAAGACAUGAUUUUUAAAUUAACAUCAGGUCCCAUAAGUACACCGGCAACCAUUUAUCCACUUAGGUUCUAAUGCAGAACAGAAAUAAUGACUUUGACACAUCAGAAGAAAGCACAACUGAUAUUUGCCAGUACGACAUUUCAGUAACUGUGCUCCAUCCUAUCUGUAGAUACUGUUGGAUGGACCAUUAGCAUGUGCUCCAUCCUGUCUGUAGAUACUGUUGGAUGGACCAUUAGCAGUUCAAAACUCUCUGUAUUUAGGUCCUCUGAACACACACCAAAAGUCUGAAAAGGGUGUAGAAGAUGAUUUUUAGCUCAAAUCUGCUGGCAUUUAAUGUAAAAUAUAUACAAAGGUGAUAAUGAAAUAACAAAAAAAUACUGAAAUAGUAA
rnacentral:lncRNA from 12 species